UAGUCCACGCCCUAAACGAUGCUAACUCGAUGUUUGGGUCUUGAACUUGAGCAUCCAAGGGAAACCAUUAAGUUAGCCACCUGGGGAGUACGUUCGCAAGAAUGAAACUCAAAGGAAUUGACGGGGGGCCCGCACAAGCGGCGGAGCAUGUUGCUUAAUUCGAGGCAACGCGAAGAACCUUACCUGGGUUUGACAUAUACCGGACCGCCAUAGAGAUAUGGUUUCUUUUAGUCGGUAAACAGGUGGUGCAUGGCUGUCGUCAGCUCGUGUCGUGAGAUGUUGGGUUAAGUCCCGCAACGAGCGCAACCCUCGCCUUUAGUUGCUAUCAUUUAGUUGGGCACUCUAAAGGAACCGCCGGUGAUAAGCCGGAGGAAGGUGGGGAUGGACGUCAAGUCCUCAUGGCCCUUACGGGGGUGGGGCUACACACGUGCUACAAUGGGCAGUGAC
rnacentral:rRNA from 1 species